rnacentral:rRNA from 1 species
GACGAACGCUGGCGGCGUGCUUAACACAUGCAAGUCGUACGGUAAGGCCCUUUCGGGGGUACACGAGUGGCGAACGGGUGAGUAACACGUGAGUAACCUGCCCACAACUUUGGGAUAACGCUAGGAAACUGGUGCUAAUACUGGAUAUAUGCUCCUGCUGCAUGGUGGGGGUUGGAAAGCUCCGGCGGUUGUGGAUGGACUCGCGGCCUAUCAGCUUGUUGGCGGGGUAGUGGCCUACCAAGGCGGCGACGGGUAGCCGGCCUGAGAGGGUGACCGGCCACAUUGGGACUGAGAUACGGCCCAGACUCCUACGGGAGGCAGCAGUGGGGAAUAUUGCACAAUGGGCGCAAGCCUGAUGCAGCAACGCCGCGUGCGGGAUGACGGCCUUCGGGUUGUAAACCGCUUUCAGCAGGGACGAAGCUUUUUGUGACGGUACCUGCAGAAGAAGCACCGGCUAACUACGUG